rnacentral:rRNA from 1 species
CAGCAGCCACGGGAAUACGUAGGUGGCAAGCGUUGUUCGGAAUUACUGGGCGUAAAGGGCUCGCAGGCGGUUUCUUAAGUCUGAUGUGAAAGCCCCCGGCUCAACCGGGGAGGGUCAUUGGAAACUGGGAAACUUGAGUGCAGAAGAGGAGAGUGGAAUUCCACGUGUAGCGGUGAAAUGCGUAGAGAUGUGGAGGAACACCAGUGGCGAAGGCGACUCUCUGGUCUGUAACUGACGCUGAGGAGCGAAAGCAUGGGGAGCGAACAGGAUUAGAUACCCCCGUAGUCCCUGUCUCUUAUAC